AAAGUUAAUUUCAUACCGCUAUUUUGUAGUUGUGACGGCGCGUUUCUCUGACGCCACUUCCUGUUUAGCUCCUGACGUUCCGGGCGCGGAUUUUUGAAAACAACUAAAAGUUGCAUUCACGCCAUUAAACGGAGACUAUAAUGUGGUGGAUCAGUUCAACAGCAGACUGCUGGAUCAGGCCAUGGGAGAAGUGCUCAAUGACAGAGUGACAGAGCUCUAUCAGGAACAAAGGUACUACAUGAAGACCGCCCGGGCACGAGUGAAUCAUCAGUGACUUUUCAUCACAUGCUCUUUUGAAGCUAAGCUUCAGAGGACUUCAUCUCAGUGAAAACAGGCAGCUCUGUCGUCCUUCUGAAAGAUAUCCAGUACGUCUCCUGCCAGACUAAAGAGGGAGAGUCAACAGGAAGCAGGUGCUGAGGGAUUAUAUAUUAAGAUGAAUUUCCUAAUGUUUAACUCAUCCUCUCUUUCUGACGUGAGGCUGUAUAAAGCCUUGCAUCUGCCGACUGAGUGGAAUUCUGAGUCUGUUUAGGGGAUUCAACACCCAAAAAUGAAAUCAGGAGUUUGAGUGUUAAUAAAACGAAGGUAAAUAUG